rnacentral:rRNA from 1 species
UACGAAGGGGGCUAGCGUUGUUCGGAAUUACUGGGCGUAAAGCGCACGUAGGCGGACUGCCAAGUCAGGGGUGAAAUCCCGGGGCUCAACCUCGGAACUGCCUCUGAUACUGUCAGUCUAGAGUCCGGAAGAGGUGGGUGGAAUUCCUAGUGUAGAGGUGAAAUUCGCAGAUAUUAGGAAGAACACCGGUGGCGAAGGCGGCCCACUGGUCCGGAACUGACGCUGAGGUGCAAAAGCGUGGGGAGCAAACAGG